GGACUGACAAGUGACUCUGAGAGCUAGAACACUAGCUAGCACCCGGAGGCAGUGUACACACCCCAUUUUCCUGCUGUGGAAACUGAAGCUCUGACGGCCAAUCAGAGUGCUGCCUGGAGCCUCACAGAAGCUCGUGCACUGCUGAGGACAGAGCCCGGCGUUCUGCGUGUGACCCUCCCACGAGCUCCUAGUCGAACAAACUCCAGCAGGGUCAGCAGUGCCUUCUUUCACCCACCAGAAUCCUGCUUCAGGAAUGGAGGCCAGGGGCCAGGGCUCAGAAUCUUUAUUAAAAGAGACUUUUUGUUUUGUCCCAAUGGGACCUGACCUCUAUUAUGAGGGACCUUGGUAAGAGUUUAAUAACAAACCUCGGUUUUUUGAACCCAAUCCUCACCUAAAACUCCUCCCUCCACUCAGCAAGUCCUUCCAUCCAGGUAGCCCACCUUCAUGUUUAAGUUCUGCUUAUUUGGCUAAGACUUCAAAUGCAGCAUCAGGCAAUAAGCAUCAGACUGCAGGGCCAGGAAACCGGAGUUUAGUUGUGGCUUUGUCGCUUGCUAAUAAUGUGGAUUUGAGCCAGUUAGAUAAGCCUCCACUAACCCCUCUGCAAAAUGGGGUGAAUUAGGGUUUCCUCUGAGGAUCACUGGCAGGAUUAAGGGGCUGCGCGUGAAGGCACCUGAUGUGGUCUCUGCACACGGCCCGCACUCGAGGUCGGGGCCGCCGUGUCCUGCAUCCGACUCGACACACAUCCCAGAUCCGAAAGCAGACUGGGAACGAGCAUAUUCAGUAACUGCCCCGGGCUGCACGCCGCCCAUGGAAGAGGUGACGCGUGCCGAAGAGCUCAAAAGAAAGCCGAUGGGCCCCGGAGAUCUGAGAUGCCACUUUCACAUCAUCACCUGACUAGGACAAGGGCCCAUUCACAAGAGCUGUUAUUUCUAGCAACUUCUUCGAGAGCUGCAAAUAGACUCAACUAAAAAUAAUGAUAAAGAAGUUAUUUAAGAAAUCACUUGCUUUCAAAAUUGAGUCACCAGAUAUUUAUAUCCCUCUGCAGGGCAAGGAAAUUAAAACGGGCAACUUCUUA